rnacentral:rRNA from 1 species
AACGAACGCUGGCGGCAUGCCUAACACAUGCAAGUCGAACGAGACCUUCGGGUCUAGUGGCGCACGGGUGCGUAACGCGUGGGAACCUGCCCUUAGGUUCGGAAUAACUCCCCGAAAGGGGUGCUAAUACCGGAUAAUGUCUUCGGACCAAAGAUUUAUCGCCUUUGGAUGGGCCCGCGUUGGAUUAGCUAGUUGGUAGGGUAAAAGCCUACCAAGGCGACGAUCCAUAGCUGGUCUGAGAGGAUGAUCAGCCACACUGGGACUGAGACACGGCCCAGACUCCUACGGGAGGCAGCGGUGGGGAAUAUUGGACAAGGGGGGAAAGCCUGAUCCAGCAAUGCCGGGGGAGUGAUGAAGGCCUUGGGGUUGUAAAGCUUUUUUCCCCGGGAUGAUAAUGACAGUACCGGGAGAAUAAGCUCCGGCUAACUCCGU